rnacentral:rRNA from 1 species
CCCGCACAAGCGGUGGAGCAUGUGGUUUAAUUCGAUGAUACGCGAGGAACCUUACCUGGGCUCGAACGUAAGAUGACUGUAGGUGAAAGCUUACAUCUCUUCGGAGCAUUUUACGAGGUGCUGCAUGGUUGUCGUCAGCUCGUGCCGUGAGGUGUCGGGUUAAGUCCCAUAACGAGCGCAACCCUACCUUUAGUUGCCAUCAGGUAAUGCUGGGGACUCUAAAGGAACUGCCUACGCAAGUAGUGAGGAAGGCGGGGAUGACGUCAAAUCAGCACGGCCCUUACGUCCAGGGCUACACACGUGCUACAAUGGCCGAUACAGAGGGCAGCUACCUGGUGACAGGAUGCAAAUCUCCAAAGUCGGUCUCAGUUCGGAUCGGAGUCUGCAACCCGACUCCGUGAAGUUGGAUUCGCUAGUAAUCGCGCAUCAGCCAUGGCGCGGUGAAUACGUUCCCGGGCCUU